rnacentral:lncRNA from 1 species
GGCUUCUGAUUCAACCAACGUGUUGCUUUGCUAGCGAACAUAAAGUUGAGUCUUUGAAGCUCUUUAGACCAAUCGUGUGUAUAUUACUCUUAGUGUUUUGAAUAUAAUUAUGUUUACCCAUCUACUAGUUCAUUUUAACGUCAUUUGCUUGUUAAAUUAGCAAAUGUGUUACUAAAUUGAUACUGCAUUAGGCUAAUCGACCGGAGCAUGAGCUCACAAAGCUCGACCGAGAAAGAAGCUCUGGUGAAAGGAGAGGAAGAAGCUUUCAGGAUGAAAAGGGAGGAAGAGGACGCAAUCACAUUGAAAGAAGAAGAGGAUGAUAUUACAGUGAAAGAGGAAGAUGGGAAAGAGGUUGUCAAAGUGGAAGGGGAGGAGGUAGAAGCUUUCAGAAUCAAAAACGAGGAAGAUGCCAUAACAUUGAAAGAAGAGAAUGUAGUGAAAGAAGAGGAAGAACCUUUUAGAGUAAAAGAGGAAGAGGAAGAACCUUUUAGAGUAAAAGAGGAAGAGGAGGCUAUCUCAAUCAAAAAGGAGGAAGACGUUUUGGGAGUGAAAGCGGAGGAGGCUGAAGAUCAGACUACCACCAGAGAGAGACGUGACUAUCGUGGAUCCUCUGGGGAGCAUCAACAACAUCCUGAUCCUGCUGACGAGGCAGAGAAGAGUCUCUCCAGAUCAGAACACCAGAUGGACAACGCUAGCCCUUCCUCCCUCCCGGAGUCCCCGUGUUGUACCUCUCCCAGUAGCGCCUUACUGCUGGGUAUGAAGAGGUUGUCUGUGCUGCUGGUGGACUGCAGGAAAACAACGGGGCUGAGUGGAACUGUGAGAGGACGACAAGAGAAGAAAGGAUCAGAUUUGACACAUCAAAUGUUGUACUGAAACAGCUGCAAAAACAUGACUCGUGACGUUGCUGGAUACGGGCCUCGCUCUGCUGCUUUGCCAGUUAAUUUGUUAUUUUAUUACAGCUAUGGCCUUUGUCUCUCAUAAUUUUGCACGCCCAUUUUUUCAGUUUUUGAUUUGUUAAAAAAGUUUGAAAUAUCCAAUAAAUGUCGUUCCACUUCAUGAUUGUGUCCCACUUGUUGUUGAUUCUUCACAAAAAAAUACAGUUUUAUAUCUUUGUUUGAAGCCUGAAAUGUGGCAAAAGGUCGCAAAGUUCAAGGGGGCCGAAUACUUUCGCAAGGCACUGUAUGUCUGAGAAAAAACACUUUUCAACCCAUAAAACAUAUACAAAAUA